GAUAAACGCUGGCGGCGUGCAUGAGACAUGCAAGUCAUACGGACGAGCUUGCUCGUCAGUGGCGAACGGCUGAGUAACGCGUAGGUGACCUGCCCCGAAGUGGGGGAUAACUGCCCGAAAGGGUGGCUAAUACCGCAUGUGGCGACGUGUUCAUUCACGUCAUCAAAGCCGCGAGGCGCUUCGGGAGGGGCCUGCGUCCGAUUAGCUCGUUGGUGGGGUAACGGCUCACCAAGGCGACGAUCGGUAGGUGGUCUGGGAGGACGAUCACCCAGACUGGGACUGAGACACGGCCCAGACUCCUACGGGAGGCAGCAGUCGGGAAUUUUGCUCAAUGGGGGAAACCCUGAAGCAGCAACGCCGCGUGCGGGAUGAAGGCCUUCGGGUUGUAAACCGCUUUUACCAGGGACGAUAAUGACGGUACCUGGUGAAUAAGUCACGGCUAACUACGUGCCAGCCGCCGCGGUAAUAC
rnacentral:rRNA from 1 species